rnacentral:lncRNA from 1 species
UUCUUUUUUUAAAUCGAUUUUUUUAUUAUAAAAUUUAGCUUUUUAUUUUCUUUCUUUCUACUUUUUCUCUUCUUUCUUCCACGGUAAGGUUUAGCCACCACCGCCUUUAUGCCAUAUGGGGGCCUUCCAUCUCACUCUAAAACGAAGACCAUCAUACCCUUUUUCUCUUACUCGGUUUGGAUUUUCCCAAAAACAACUAAAAAAUCCAUGAAACUCCCAGCAAAAUUUUGAAACAAAAAACCCAAUUCGUC